UACGUAGGGUGCAAGCGUUAAUCGGAAUUACUGGGCGUAAAGCGUGCGCAGGCGGUUUUGUAAGUCUGUCGUGAAAUCCCCGGGCUCAACCUGGGAAUUGCGAUGGAGACUGCAAGGCUAGAAUCUGGCAGAGGGGGGUAGAAUUCCACGUGUAGCAGUGAAAUGCGUAGAGAUGUGGAGGAACACCGAUGGCGAAGGCAGCCCCCUGGGUCAAGAUUGACGCUCAUGCACGAA
rnacentral:rRNA from 1 species